GAUGAAGAACGUAGCGAAAUGCGAUAAGUAAUGUGAAUUGCAGAAUUCAGUGAAUCAUCGAAUCUUUGAACGCACAUUGCGCCCGCCAGUAUUCUGGCGGGCAUGCCUGUCCGAGCGUCAUUUCAACCCUCGAACCCCUCCGGGGGGUCGGCGUUGGGGAUCGGCCCUUUACGGGGCCGGCCCCGAAAUACAGUGGCGGUCUCGCCGCAGCCUCUCCUGCGCAGUAGUUUGCACACUCGCAUCGGGAGCGCGGCGCGUCCAAUGCCGUAAAACACCCAACUUUCUGAAAUGUUGACCUCGGAUCAGGUAGGAAUACCCGCUGAACUUAAGCGUAUCAAUAAGCGGAGGA
rnacentral:misc_RNA from 1 species